GUGAGGAAUAUUGGUCAAUGGGCGGGAGCCUGAACCAGCCAAGUCGCGUGAAGGAAGAAGGAUCUAUGGUUCGUAAACUUCUUUUGCAGGGGAAUAAAGUGCAGGACGUGUCCUGUUUUGUAUGUACCCUGAGAAUAAGGAUCGGCUAACUCCGUGCCAGCAGCCGCGGUAAUACGGAGGAUCCGAGCGUUAUCCGGAUUUAUUGGGUUUAAAGGGUGCGUAGGUGGUUUGAUAAGUCAGCGGUGAAAGUUUGCAGCUUAACUGUAAAAAUGCCGUUGAAACUGUCGGACUUGAGUGUAAGUGAGGUAGGCGGAAUGCGUGGUGUAGCGGUGAAAUGCAUAGAUAUCACGCAGAACUCCGAUUGCGAAGGCAGCUUACUAAGCUACAACUGACACUGAAGCACGAAAGCGUGGGGAUCAAACAGGAUUAGAAACCCCGGUAGUCC
rnacentral:rRNA from 1 species